rnacentral:lncRNA from 1 species
CUUUUAUCCAUAGAGAAUAGCAGAUUGCCAUUACCAGAAUUGUUAAGGAACUGGCACAUGGUGAGAUACAUAAUUUGCAUUUUUGCAUUUUCAAAGAACCUUUUAAAUUGUGAUGUUGUACUUAAAAGUAUGGGUGGUUCAGGCUACCAAGUUUAAUGCAACGCACGCAUCUAUCACUUAACUGAGUACAUUUCAGCUAGUUACAUAGCCUUUCUGGCCUCAGAAUCUUCAUUUUUUAAUGGGAAUUAUAAUAUUAUCAAGUUCAAAGGAUUUGGAAAUGAAUAAUAUAUGUGGAGUCGAUAGGAUAGUGCUUGACACGUAUGUCCUCAAGUAACAGCAGCUGUUAGAACGUAAACUUUUUUGGGGGGUCAGGAGUAUACGUAUUACCUGAAGUUUAAUGAAAUUAGACCCAUCUUCACUUUUUCAACUUUAAGUUAAAUCCAAGUAACUACGAAAUACAAGUGUAUAUUUUUGUCUUAGCUCUCUAAUAGCAUUUUACUUAAUUUUUCUACAUAUAUUCUCAUUUAUUAUCCUUCCUCUAAUGCUGUGCCCAUCCUGAUGUUUUAGAUUAAAAAGUGGAAUUUUCUGGGGUUGUUUAAAGAAUUUUAAUGUAAAAGCAUGGUAAUUCAAGUGCUGUUUACCAUUUACAGAGUUAUUGAUAUGUGAUAUAGCAAUUAAUAUUUCCAUGACAAAACCAUAAGGAAUUGCACAGGGAAGGACAUUAAGGAUAAGAAAGAGUGAUUUACUUAAGUCACAGAUCAGAGUCUUGUUAUUACAAAUAUGUAUGUCCACUUAAUUUUCUCUAAGUGCGUUUGAUGUCAUAAAUAGCAUUAGAUGUCUGCAUCAGACUUGUUCGGAAUAUGUAAAUGGCUGAUGUUCUGAACUGCUUUAACUCUAGUUGUUGUGAUCUUGUAUCUCUCUUUAAAAUGAACCACAUUACUAAGAUAACUGACAAGAGAAGGUCAGGCCUCCAUCAGGAGAGACACAGGCGGAAAUAGAGAAAAGUUAUUUUUUUUAGUAAGAAAUAGUAAGAGUAUUAAGCUUAAGAUGUUGAGGAAAUAAUAUGGAAAUAUUAAUUGCUAUAUCACAUAUUGAUGACUCUGAAAAUGGUAAACAGCACUUGAAUUACCAUGCUCCUACAUCAGAAAUCUUUAAACAACCCUAGAAAAUUCCGCUUCUUAAUCUAAAACAUCAGGAUGGGCAUAGCAGAACAAUAUUGAGGGGAGACAAAAGGAUCUGAAAUCUGAAGAGAACAUGUUUUCCAGACUGUCAUGGAAAAGAAUAUGCUUAGCUAGAUAGACAAAGAAUAAAUUUUUAUGGCUGAGGUAAAUAAUAAUCCUGGGUCAAAAAUACAGUGGAUUUAAAGAAUUUACCAGAGGGAGGGUAAUCAAGAAUGAGAUUUUAAUCUAUUCUUUUAAUUUGUAAUAACAAUAUUUAUUUAGAAAAAUGUAUGCAAAUGUGACAUAUGUACAUACACAUAAAUUCAUCUAAAAUUUACUGCAUGAAAUAUAAUUAAAAAUCACUACUGAUAAUAAUCCUAUUAUUAAUUCUUCAUAUAGUUUUGAAUGUUAUACAUACUUCAAAGUUGAAUGAGGAAUUUCUAUUAUUUUCAGAACAAUUGAUGCUAGAAUUAGUUCAUUGCCAAAAUGAAUGGGAAGGAAAUAGUGGGCAUUGGGGAUAGUGAGGAGGCAAAAUCCCCAAGGUCACAGCCCCACAGGAUGGCCUAGAGCCCACAGUUCAUGGCCAUGAGGAGCCUCAAGCAACCUCUGCUGCAGCUCCAGCAUAUUAAAGAGUAUGGCUAUCAAGAAAGAAAAGACCAUGGAAUCUUCUGGGAGAAAUAUGAACAGAAUAAGCUGCUUCCUCUAGGAGUACAUGAGGUUAAAAUUGAUCAAAGUGAGAGAAUAGGGAGGACUGGGUCCAUGAUACAACUAAUCAUGGAAGUUUUGAAAUAGUUUAAAAAUUUUAGUCUAAGAUUCUGUGUUAUGUUGUCAUAUUAGUUCACCCAUGCACUAUUUUCUACUGUUUCCCUUCUAGAUCUUAAAAUGAUAUUAAAAUGUCUGUACAAAUCUGUACUUAUUGCAAGUUUUUGUUUUUCACAUUUAACAUAUUGUAAAAAUGCUUUACCAUCUAUGUAGUCAUAAUAUUAAUAUUUUAUUCACAGUAUCAUUCCUAAGUUGUAGUAGUCUGAUUUACAUAAACACCUUCCUCUUAUUAAACGUUUUAGAUAUUUCUAAAUUGUCGUUAUUAUAAGUGAAACAACAUAAUUUUCCAUUAUGAAACUUAACACUUCAUUUCACUUUUAGAAUAAUUUUUAGGAUUGGGGUUACUAGGAGAGCGAAUACAAACAUGUUCAUGAUUCUGGAAAGAUUUGGUAAAAUAUUUUCCAAAAUAUUAGAUUCAUGAAGCAGCUUCAUUACAAUUUUAGAAUUGAUAUAAUUAAAAAACCCAUGAUUUUAACAAUAAAUAUUUUAUUUUUAUGGUGUAUUCAAUUUUCUAGCUCACUGUAUGUGUAGACGCUUCUUAAAAAUAAUGCUGACACCAACAUUUCAUAUCUUCCUUUUGAUUUAUACACUGCAAAGCACAUUUAUAAUAAUUGUCUUAUUUGACUCUUAAUGGAUCAGGCAGCUUGGACAAGUGUUACUGUAUCUAUUUUAUGGGAGAGGAUGCUGAGGCUUAGUGGUUUCUUCAAUGACACAUGGAAAUUAAGUGGUGAAGAUGGGAUUGUUAACAUUUUGAUAGCAGAAACUGAACAAUUACUAUAUUAUUUUUGUUUAACUUUCUAUUUUGGAGUAACAGGACAUUUGCAAAGAUAGUACAAAGAGUUUCUGUACACUCCUCACUUAUUUUCCCCUAAUAUUGUGAUUUGAUAUUACCAUGCUCACAGUCGUCAAAAUGGUAAAAUGAGCAUUGAUAUAUUAUUCUUAAUGAAACACCACAUUUUAUUUAUAUUUCACUAAUUUCUUCACUACUGUCCCUUUUCUGCUCUAGGAUUCAAUCCAAUACAUCGCAUUUCACUUAAAACAAUUAUUUUUUAAAUAACUUAAAAUCAUAAACCUUGUGAUUAUAAACCAUGGGGACAUUGUACUCUCCAUUGUCAAAUUUUUUUUAACUUUUUAUUGAGAUUAUGAUAGUUUACAACCUUAUGAAAUUCACUUGUACAUUAUUGUCUGUCAGUCGUGUGGUAGG